GAUGAACGCUGGCGGCGUGCCUAAUACAUGCAAGUCGAGCGAACGGACGAGAAGCUUGCUUCUCUGAUGUUAGCGGCGGACGGGUGAGUAACACGUGGAUAACCUACCUAUAAGACUGGGAUAACUUCGGGAAACCGGAACUAAUACCGGAUGAUAUUUUGAACCGCAUGGUUCAAAAGUGAAAGACGGUCUUGCUGUCACUUAUAGAUGGAUCCGCGCUGCAUUAGCUAGUUGGUAAGGUAACGGCUUACCAAGGCAACGAUGCAUAGCCGACCUGAGAGGGUGAUCGGCCACACUGGAACUGAGACACGGUCCAGACUCCUACGGGGGGCAGCAGUAGGGAAUCUUCCGCAAUGGGCGAAAGCCUGACGGAGCAACGCCGCGUGAGUGAUGAAGGUCUUCGGAUCGUAAAACUCUGUUAUUAGGGAAGAACAUAUGUGUAAGUAACUGUGCACAUCUUGACGGUACCUAAUCAGAAAGCCACGGCUAACUACGUG
rnacentral:rRNA from 1 species